rnacentral:tRNA from 1 species
GCCCUCGUCGUUCAACGGAUAGGACGCGAGCUUGCGGAGCUUGCAAUAGAGGUUCGAUUCCUCUCGAGGGCA